UGCUCGCUUAAGCAGCAAUACAGUAAAAUUGGAAUGACAUGGAGAAGAUUAGCAUGGCCUCUGAGCAAGGAUAACUCGCAAAUUCAUGAAACGUUCCAUAUUUUU